AAUGGAUGGGUAAUGUUUUAAGCAUGGUACAGAGAAAAACAAAUUUGAAAGGCCAUUCAAUGCACAGGAGUAUAGAGAAAGCAAUGUGAAUAAAUAGUAUUAUCAAAGAAUGGAAUAAUGUUUCAUUUGAAGAAAGAAAUGCUCUUCCUAUCGAUGACUGCUUAUCUGAUUAUUACGAAAACACAACUUUAUUCAUCAAUCGUUUGUCGCCGCCGAGGUCAUGUACAUGUCGGUAGCGAAUAAACUCCAAAUGUUCAUAAUUCUAUGAGAAGCCGAGAAUAAGCACAUUAAACCAGCCCACCAUCAGUUGGGUGAAGAAACGCAGUUGGGAUAAGAAAAGCCACUCAUCAUCAUCGACGAGAUAAUGCAGGUCAUUGAACGACGAUAAAAACAAAUACAAAUGUAAAGCUUAAGUUAGUAAUCUAAGAGUAAAUUAUCUAUGCCAUUAAAGAUAAUACAUCACAUGUUUUAGUUCUUGCAAAAUCUAUCUUUUAGCAUUGCUGAUUACCGGGUGUUGGGAAAGAAAAGCAACGGUUGAAUGUCUUGCUUUUCGUUUUUAACGUCCACAACAAAUUGGAAUUGGGGAAGCAUUAGAAACUAAGUUUUUUAAUUACAACAUCUCUCUUAGUUACCACCCGGCUAAUUGUAGUUUUUUCGGACAAAUUCAAAAAACAAAAAACAAAAAAACCAUUCUGUUCAUUUUAUAGAUAAUACCAGAUUGGAUUUCAAACAAAUCGACUACCUAAUGCACCUUCAAACACUUGAUGUAACAACUAGCAAAAAACUGCUAUCUUUGACAUACAUUGUAUACUCCAGAAUGAUAGUGUUGUAACCUUAUACUACCAAAUUUUAUACGAAUUUGUUAUCCUACAAAGCUGAAUACCUCGAAUUUGCUUUCCUACUAUGUCAAACGUAUAAAGUGAAUAUACUGUUUAGCUUUUAAAAAUUAGAGUAAACUGUUUAGUGUUUAAGCUAGAAGAAACUGAUUUGUCUUUAUAUUAGAAUACAUUAGGUUGUCAUUAGAACUAGCUUCCAUUAGAUUGAUUGUCUUUAUACUAGCUUACUUGCCUUGAAUUCAAAUCUUGACAAACGUAAACUUAGCGAACAUCGGAAAAAUACCCACAUACAACAGGUAAAAAGACUUAACACCUCCUACCCCUUUGUAGGUAGUAUACGAUUAUCGAGACAUAGUGUGCAAUGCAAUCCAUUACAUUGUCAAGUGCUUUCUCAGCAACAUUGCACUUACAAACCCUUCGAUGCUCUUCUGCAAAGCUCUUUGCUUCUCUUUAAAACUCGGAGCUCAUCUGUAAAGCUUACACUACUUUGUAACUGCCGUUCUUGCACACACCAAAGAUAAUGAUGGGUAGUUUUGUUAGCGACUAAAUUGAAUGAAAAAAUUUACCACGUCCAUGUCCAUACAAACACCGUAUCAGUACGUAUUCAAUGAUAAAAUCCAUUUCAAAAUGAUCAAACUAUGUAGUAACAAUCACGCGGUUGGCGUUCUAAGAGAAACAACUAUCAACCUAAAAAAGAGACACAUUAUACGAUUACUUUCUCUCCAGCUCCAUCCAUAAGCUUGCCACCACUUCUUUCCAAGUGUGGAAGAUGUUGACGGUGUAGUAAAAACGUAAAUUUCCUUCCAAGUCUUGGCUUGGCUUAAUUUG
rnacentral:lncRNA from 1 species